UACGUAUGGGGCAAGCGUUAUCCGGAUUUACUGGGUGUAAAGGGAGCGUAGGCGGCAGGGCAAGCCUGAUGUGAAAGCCCGGGGCUCGACCCCGGGACUGCAUUGGGAACUGCCCUGCUGGAGUGCCGGAGGGGCAGGCGGAAUUCCUAGUGUAGCGGUGAAAUGCGUAGAUAUUAGGAGGAACACCAGUGGCGAAGGCGGCCUGCUGGACGGUGACUGACGCUGAGGCUCGAAAGCGUGGGGAGCAAACAGG
rnacentral:rRNA from 1 species